GCCAUCGUGACAUAGUGGUUUGAGUGUUGGACUACAACUCUGGAGACCAGGGUUGAAUUCCCAGCUCGGGCA
rnacentral:tRNA from 1 species